rnacentral:tRNA from 1 species
GGUCAUGGCUCAGCGGUAGAACAUCUGCUUGACCCAAGAAGGCUCCAGGUUCAAUCUCUGGCAUCUCCU